UCCAACUAGGUGAUUGGGACUGAACACAGACGACCCACCAUGGACAUUGGGAUGAGAUGGGUUUUCCUUAUUGCACUUGUAAAAGGUGUCCAGUGUGAGGUGCAGCUGACGGAGUCUGGAGGAGGCUUGGUCCAGCCUGGAGGGUCUCUGAGACUCUCCUGUGUGGGAUCUGGAUUCACCUUCAGUGACUACUACAUGAACUGGGUCCGCCAGGCUCCAGGAAAGGGGCUGGAGUGGGUCGGUCUCAUUAGAAACAAAGCUAAUAGUUAUAGCACAGCAUAUGCUGCAUCGGUGACAGGCAGAUUCACCAUCUCAAGAGAAGAUUCCAAAAGCACUGUCUAUCUGCAAAUGGACAGCCUGAAGUCCGAGGACACAGCCGUGUAUUACUGUGCAAGUGACACAGUGAGUGGAAGUCAGUCUGUGCCCAGACACAAACCUCCAUGCCCAGGUGUGCAGGACCACCAGGGGGCGCGCAGGACACACUGA